CAGAAACCUAUCAAACCUUGUUGUUUAUAACAGGAACCAGCUAAACUUUGUUACAGAGGGUUGAAUGGCUUGUAACGUCGGAUGAAGGCAGAGAGAGAGUAAGACAAAGAAGAGCAGAGGGAAGGUCCAGAUCACCAGGCUGGGCUCCAGCGACAUCUCUGGUCUGGUUCUGGAUGUGUCUGCAAUGGUGGAAUGGCCGAAGCCAUCAGAGACCAAGUCACAGCCCCAAAAAUGGGUCAAAAAGGGACCUGGGCGCCCCGUCGGGCAGGAAAGGGCAGGCGGCGUCCGCGGGGCGGGCUGCAGGGAAAGGGCAACCUCAGCCCACCCACACUUCCCAGCACCGACGGGGCGGGCUUUCCCCCGCCUCAGCAAGUGCUGCGAGCCCAGCGCCGCCCCGAGGGGCCGGCGUGGGGCCGAGGAGGAGGAGGAGGAGGAAGAGGAGGAGGAGGAGGAGAAGGAGGAGGAGGAGGAGGAGGAGAAGGAGGAGGAGGAGGAGGAGGAAGGGGGCACCGCCCGUCCAGCCGCCCCCCGACGGCAGGGAGGGGCGUGGCUAUGCAAAUCGACCCCCUCAAGCAGCCAAUGGGAGGGCGAGGCGAGCCGCGGGGGCGUGGCUCCUCGCCGGGACUAGCGCUGGGCUCGACGGCGCGGCCGCUCCGACGGCACCGGCAGCGCGGGGAGCGAGGCGGGCGAAUUGGAUUCUACCAGAUCACAGAGAUCGUGGGUGGUGCUGCAUGUAUCUUUGGAGAUGAACUUCUCACAGGUGGCCUAGAUCCAUGCGUUCACUUGCUGAUGUCCAGCUGGUUACACCAGGAGCUCACUUGGCGAAGUGCCUGAGACUCGCAGCAGCGACUGAAGUCAGAAUUUACAAGAUUGGGCUGUUAGGACUGCCUUCCCCAGAGGACUCUGAGGAGUUUAUGGAGCAUUCCAGGGAUUAUCACAGGAGAAAACACUGAGGAAAUGAAAAGUAGUAACACAGCAAAUGAGAUAUCUAACCGUGAACUGAAUUAUAUUAAAUUUUAUGUUGUACAACAUUAUUUUUUUCAGCACAUACAGAUUGUAAGCAGAGACUUGGUGGAAGUGAUGGGAUGCAGGACAGUGUUUAAUUGCAUGAUCAUCCUGUGCAUAGGAGACAUUACUGUGCAAUCUGAGUCUACAUUUGACAGCUCCUUACUCUUAUUUUAAUGUUUGACUUUUUAUUCUUCCAUGUUUUGUUUUUUUUUUUUUAAAAAAAAAAAACAAAAAACUUUUUUUUUAUAGAGAUGCUGCAGAAUUAGUAUAUGCAUGAACUUAUUACAACAUUAGUAAUAUACAGUGUGAAGAUUUCUGUUUCUGCUUCUCCCUUUCUUUCUACAUUAUUUUAUGUAACACCUGACAUUAGUUGUGGGUGAGAAAGGCAAACUAUAAGAUGCCCUUUUGAGGGUAGGGGAAGGAAGGGUAGACCUUUUCCUAUAAAGUUAUGAGCUUAUUAUGCAAGAGUUCCUACUCAGUGUGGUUUUGUGUUUAAAUGUAAACUUUCCCCAGUCUUGGCCUAGAACUCUUGCUUCAGUUUUGAGUAGAAAAAAUGGUUAUUGUACUAAAUUCCUGAUGUAAGUGUAUGCGUACUUGAGUGCAUCUCUGAAUUAAAAUUGUUGGAAAUUUUUGGGUGCCUGAAGUCUGGAAGAAUACAAUAUAGUACCUUGUGGAUUUAACCAUUCUUAGGGUAUUUUUCCAGAGAAGUGCACCAGCUUUGUUAAGCACAUAAAAUAAAUUGUAAUUAUUGUUGAACCA
rnacentral:lncRNA from 1 species